rfam:Triticum urartu cultivar G1812 contig1208714, whole genome shotgun sequence.
AAUAUACUCCCUCCGCCCGGAAAUACUUGUCGUAGAAAUGGAUACAAAUGGAUGUAUCUAGAACUAAAAUACAUCUAGAUACAUCCAUUCCUCGGCCAAGUAUUUUCGGACGGAGAGAGUAUUAC